GAUGAACGCUGGCGGCAUGCUUUACACAUACAAGUCGGACGGGAAGUGGUGUUUCCAGUGGCGGCCGGGUGAGUAACGCGUAAGAACCUGCCCUUGGGAGGGGAACAACAGCUGGAAACGGCUGCUAAUACCCCGUAGGCUGAGGAGCGAAAGGAGGAAUCCGCCCAAGGAGGGGCUCGCGUCUGAUUAGCUAGUUGGUGAGGUAAUAGCUUACCAAGGCCGUGAUCAGUAGCUGGUCCGAGAGGAUGAUCAGCCACACUGGGACUGAGACAAGGCCCAGACUCCUACGGGAGGCAGCAGUGGGGAAUUUUCCGCAAUGGGCGAAAGCCUGACGGAGCAAUGCCGCGUGGAGGUAAAAGGCCUACGGGUCAUGAACUUCUUUUCCUGGAGAAGAAACAAUGACGGUAUCUGGGGAAUAAGCAUCGGCUAACUCUGUG
rnacentral:rRNA from 1 species